rnacentral:rRNA from 1 species
UACGAAGGGGGCUAGCGUUGCUCGGAAUUACUGGGCGUAAAGCGCACGUAGGCGGCUUUGUAAGUUAGAGGUGAAAGCCCGGGGCUCAACUCCGGAACUGCCUUUAAGACUGCAUCGCUAGAAUUGUGGAGAGGUGAGUGGAAUUCCGAGUGUAGAGGUGAAAUUCGUAGAUACUCGGAAGAACACCAGUGGCGAAGGCGACUCACUGGACACAUAUUGACGCUGAGGUGCGAAAGCGUGGGGAGCAAACAGG